UCUUAGGAAAUCCAGCUCUGAUCUUUCUGGUGUGACCUUUGAUCAGAAACCAGGGAACCAACCCCAACCUAAAUGGCUCUUUUGGGGGUGUGUUCUUGUCCCAGGCAGGACCAGUCCUCAGGGAGGCAGAAACUCCUUGCCAAACUGGCGGCCAGUCAUACCCACUUCACCAUCCCAGGGAAGGAGGGAGAGAAUCUGUCAUGGACCUUUUGGCAAAAUCCUUCUUCCUCCCCAAACACCAGCUAUGAUUAGCUGUGUCCUCACCACGAAACUGCAGGGGUGUGUGCGGAUGAGAAGAGGUGAAGAGAGAAGCAGUGCAGGUGUGAAGGUGUACAUCUGCAGGAAUGCCCCUGUACAUGCCGCUACAAGGAGUAAACAGAAAAGAGUCCAGGAGAGGAAAAGAAAAGCUGAGUGAAGUUGAACAAGAAAAUACUCAGCCAGGAGAGCAGGAGUAUUCUGAGGAAACAACUUCUAAACUGACUGCAGAAGAGGUGAGUAGCUGGGGUCAGGAAGCAGCCCGUGCAGAGGCCUGGAGGUAAGUGCCAGCAUGCGUGUCUGAGCAACUGUGGUCCCAAAGCUUAGGUUACAAGAGGUUGAGAAAUAAGGCUCAGAGAUAAGCAGGAGCCAGAUUACAAAAAGUCUUGUAAGACCAUGUUAAGGUGUGUGGGCUUUAUCCUAAGAGCAAUAGGGAGCCAGAAAGGAGUUAAAGCAAAGAAGUGGCG
rnacentral:lncRNA from 1 species